CACAGAAUCGUGGAAUCAGAAUCAUGGAAUCAUGGAACCAUGGAAUCAUGGAAGCAGGGAAUCACACAAUAAUGGAAUCACAGGAUCCUGGAAUCACAGGAUCAUGGAAUUACAGAAUCACAAAAUCAUUCCAUCAUAGAAUCACAGAAUCGUAAAAUCACGGAGUCAUGGGAUCAUGGGAUCACGGACUCACGGAAUCACGGACUCACAAAGCCAGGGAACACUAAUUCCUGUGUUUGCUAAAAUGUAGAAAUGUGAAAAGUUUUGAUGCUUGGGGUGCUGGGUUUGUGGAAUCCCACAAAAGCCAACUCACAAAAUAAAUAAUCAACAAUAAAUAAAUUAGCGAUAAUAAAUAAAUAAUCAUUAAUAACUAAUAAUAAUCCAUGUCUCUCUUGAGUCAUAACUAUUGGCUUAAAUUGGGAAAAAAAAUCCAAUUUUUGUGGGCAGCAAAGGGGUUGGAAUGUUCCUUAAACAUCACCCAGUCCCAGCUCCCUCUCUGUUAUUCCCAGAUCUAUUAUCCAUGGCCAUUUUCCCAAAACUUUCGGGAAUCCUUCCCUUCCUUUUGCCCCAGCUGAAGUUUGGGUGGAGAUGCCCGGUGUUCCCUCUUCAACUGCAACCAAUGGUGCUGAGCCUUGGCAAUUCCUAACAGCUUUAAUUAACCUGUUGAUUAGUUAUUUGAAUUACUCAGAGAUGCCGUGUUGGGCCUUAAAUCACUUUUUUUUUUUUUAGCAAAAGGUUGUUGCAAGCUCCUUCUGUGGGAAACCAGCUUGGGAAAAGCACCAAAACCCGGGAGUUUGGUUAAAAAUGAACCUUGGUCUGCUUCGAGGAACGGAGAUGAGGGAGGGGAAGGUGUGUGGUUGAACCCGGAUAUCUGGAACCCGGAUUUGGGAAGGUGUGUGGUUGAACCCGGACAUCUGGAACCGGGAUUUGGGAAGGUGUGUGGUUGAACCCGGACAUCUGGAACCUGGAUUUGGGAAGGUGUGUGGUUGAACCCGGACAUCUGGAACCGGGAUUUGGGAAGGUGUGUGGUUGAACCCGGACAUCUGGAACCCGGAUUUGGGAAGGUGUGUGGUUGAACCUGGACAUCUGGAACCCGGAUUUGGGAAGGUGUGUGGUUGAACCUGGAUAUCUGGAACCGGGAUUUGGGAAGGUGUGUGGUUGAACCCGGACAUCUGGAACCCGGAUUUGGGAAGGACUUUGGGCAGAAAUCAGCAGAGAAAGGAGAAGGCCAACGAAGACUCAACACGUGCCAUGGGAAGUCCCUUCUGAGACAAAAAGCUACGAAGAAGACUAAAGAUAUGAACUAAUUAUCAGAAAAGGCCAGUUGUCACCAAUUAAUGGCCAGGAGGAGGUGGAAUACUAACUAAUUAAAGGAAUUCUGUGAUUAAGAACCAGUGAACAUUAAUUUCUUCGUUUGCUGAAAAUGUGUAAAUAGGUAGAAAAAUUACAUCUCAAGGUCUGCGUGGGCUGGACUCUGAGAGUGUCACAAACAUCUCUGGCCACAAAUAAAGUCAUGCUUUGCUUUCUAAAAAGAAAUAAAACAGUGUUAGAGGGUUUU